rnacentral:lncRNA from 1 species
GGGAUGUCCUACAAACCUAUCGCGCCCGCCCCCAGCAGUACCCCCGGCUCCAGCACCCCCGGGCCAGGCACCCCGGUCCCUACAGCCGGAAGUGUCCCAUCGCCAUCGGGCUCAGUGCCAGGAGCUGCAGCUCCUUUCAGACCACUGUUUAACGACUUUGGACCGCCGUCCAUGGGGUAUCAUCCAUGCUCGGGCACUAGUCAGAGAGUGCUUGGCAGAGACAGAACGCAAUGCCCGCACGUAACAGGAAGCACCUUGACCUCUCCGUCGGGACCUUUCCGGCCACUGCAGAGCACCUGCUUCUCCCUGGCCUUUGCCCCAAGUUGCUUCCUAUCCUGGGCUUCCUGUCCUGUGUUCCUUGGUGGGCACCUUUCAGGAACCAGGUAGCAGAUCUUCAUCCAGUUGGCUGUACAGACUGGUCUCUCCCUC